rnacentral:rRNA from 1 species
UACGAAGGGUGCAAGCGUUAAUCGGAAUUACUGGGCGUAAAGCGUGCGUAGGCGGUUCGUUAAGUCUGUCGUGAAAGCCCUGGGCUCAACCUGGGAAUGGCGAUGGAAACUGGCGAGCUAGAGUGUGAUAGAGGAUGGCGGAAUUCCCGGUGUAGCGGUGAAAUGCGUAGAGAUCGGGAGGAACAUCUGUGGCGAAGGCGGCCAUCUGGAUCAACACUGACGCUGAGGCACGAAAGCGUGGGGAGCAAAC